rnacentral:lncRNA from 1 species
CGAUUCUGGCAUCAUGGAUUGGGCCUGUGUCCACCACAUCUUACUGGGAUACCUCACACUGCCAUGAAUUUGGAACAACACACAUGGGGCGUGGCUGUGACUAGCUAACCUUCCAGGUUCAGAGAGAGGGCCUAGUCUCCUUUAUGGGAGUGCAGACCCCUGGCCUGGCCUGCCCUUUUCUCAGGGACUCCAAUGCUCAGUGGCUUGCCUACUCCAGCUCCACGGAGGCGUGACCACCACCAGAGUUCCCAAACAACCCCCUUUAAACUGGCUUUUCUUAGUCUUCCAGCUGAUCUUUUCCCGAUGGGUUUGAAAGAAAUAUGCAAAUGUGAUUUGAGACAUGGGGAUAAAGGAGACUGGCAUCUCCAUUAAAACAACGAACAGGCCGGGCAGGGGAUACAGCUCAGUUGGUACAGUUUGCGCAGUAUUCCCACUUUCCAUCCCCAGAACUCCAUGGUGACACACACACGUUACCCCAGCAUCUGGGAGAUGGAGUCAGGAUUGGGGAAUUUACCAUUCUUUUCAACUCCCUGGGUUUGAGGCCAGCCUUGGCUACAUAGAGACCCUACCUCAAAAAUAACCCAGACUUUCAGAAGGCAGAUGCUUAUUAAGAUAUAAAGAUGGGUGACCACAGCCGGGCGUGGUGGCGCACGCCUUUAAUCCUAGCACUCGGGAGGCAGAGGCAGGCGAAUUUCUGAUUUCGAGGCCAGCCUGGUCUACAGAGUGAGUCCCAGGACAGCCAGAGCUAUACAGAGAAACCCUAUCUCGAAGGAGAAAAACUGAAAAAGAAAAAGGAAAAAAAAAAAUGGGUGACCACAGAUCUUAGUGUACUGAAAGGCCAAGUAAUCCGGUGAUAAAGGUCACCAUUGACUGCAGCUGGAGUUUUUCUGUGUUGUGUCAAUCCUAUGAUUAGGGGAAAAAAUUCUCUUCAUUACCAAGGAGGGAGGAGCCCCAGUGACCUGUGAAAGGUGACCAACUAAGGGUGACGUUUGGAGGACUGAGCCUGGCCAUUCCCUCCCUCAGCCUCCAUUCUCAUCCCAAUGACCCUGUUUUCUCAGCCUUUGUAUUUUUUUUCACUUGUCUCUUUAGACACUGCCUUCUCUCUCUCUCCUCUACUUAUUUACUAGUUUUAGAUUCAAAUAAAAGUUUCUCUUCCUUGUUCAUCAUUUCCCCUCAGGUUAUAAGUUAGAUAUGAAUUGUAAGAACUCCAGCGGUGGGGGCUGGAGAGAUGGCUCAGUGGUUAAGAGCACUGACUGCUCUUCCAAAGGUCCUGAGUUCAAAUCCCAGCAACCGCAUGGUGGCUCACAACCAUCUGUAAUGAGAUCUGAUGCCCUCUUCUGGAGUGUCAGAAAACAGCUACAGUGUACUCACAUAAAUAAAUCUUAAAGAAACAAAACCCAAGGAGCUCCAGCAGUAUGAGACAUCAAGUUCACCUUCAUCCCCCUGACAAAACUCAUUCUACCCAGUACCCAGGAUCCUGGGCACACGCACAUCUAUAUGGAAAUGGUUCAGGUUAACGACGUGCUUUAGAUACUGUGCGACAACUGGCUUUUCCCCACCAUGCCUACAUCCUCAUACUUUGGGAAGCAACAGUUGGAGGAUCUCAAGUUCUAAACGAAGUCUCAACAACAGUGGGCAGCAGAGAGGGCUCAGCAGUCAACAACACUGGCUGCUCUUCCAGGGGAACUGAUGGCAGCUCACAAGACUCUGGUCCCAGGGGACCUGACAUCCUUUUUUGGCCUAUGAAGACAUGGGAAACGUAUGUGGCACACAGACAUAUAGACAGAACACCCAUACACGAAAUGGAAGCAACAGAACAAGUUAUGCUAAAUUACUUCAUCCGUGUUCCUAUCUACUUCCCCCAGUUCAGACGUAUUUCUCAUUUCACCUGUUACAAUUAUAACAUGUGUCUCUUGG